GCCAUGCAUGUCUAAGUAUAAGCAAUUCUACGGCGAAACUGCGAAUGGCUCAUUAUAUAAGUUAUCGUUUAUUUGAUAGCAUCUUACUACUUGGAUAACCGUGGUAAUUCUAGAGCUAAUACAUGCUAAAAAUCCCGACUUCGGAAGGGAUGUAUUUAUUAGAUUAAAAACCAAUGCCCUUCGGGGCUCACUGGUGAUUCAUGAUAACUUCUCGAAUCGCAUGGCCUUGCGCCGGCGAUGGUUCAUUCAAAUUUCUUCCCUAUCAACUUUCGAUGUUUGGGUCUUGGCCAAACAUGGUCUCAACGGGUAACGGAGGGUUAGGGCUCGACCCCGGAGAAGGAGCCUGAGAAACGGCUACUACAUCCAAGGAAGGCAGCAGGCGCGCAAAUUAUCCAAUACCGACUCGGUGAGAUAGUGAAGAGAAAUACUGAUGCAGGGCUCUUUUGGGUCUUGCAAUUGGAAUGAGUACAAUUUAAAUCCCUUAACGAGGAACAAUUGGAGGGCAAGUCUGGUGCCAGCAGCCGCGGUAAUUCCAGCUCCAAUAGCGUAUAUUAAAGUUGUUGUGGUUAAAAAGCUCGUAGUUGAACCUUGGGCCUGGCUGGCCGGUCCGCCUCACCGCGUGUACUGGUCCGGCCGGGCCUUUCCCUCUAUGGAACCCCAUGCCCUUCACUGGGUGUGGCGGGGAAAUAGGACUUUUACUUUGAAAAAAUUAGAGUGCUCCAGGCAGGCCUAUGCUCGAAUACAUUAGCAUGGAAUAAUAGAAUAGGACGUGUGGUUCUAUUUUGUUGGUUUCUAGGACCGCCGUAAUGAUUAAUAGGGACAGUCGGGGGCAUCAGUAUUCAAUUGUCAGAGGUGAAAUUCUUGGAUUUAUUGAAGACUAACUACUGCGAAAGCAUUUGCCAAGGAUGUUUUCAUUAAUCAGGAACGAAAGUUAGGGGAUCGAAGACGAUCAGAUACCGUCGUAGUCUUAACCAUAAACUAUGCCGACUAGGGAUCGGACGAUGUUAUUUUUUGACUCGUUCGGCACCUUACGAGAAAUCAAAGUGCUUGGGCUCCAG
rnacentral:rRNA from 1 species